GCUGAUAAUUUAACCACGAACAUACAGACCUAACCAAACAAAACAUUUGACCAACCAAGUAGAGGCGAUCGAACAGUAAACUAACACAUAGUACCGCAAGGGAAACAAUAAAGCACUAAACAGCAAAGAUAAACCCUUGUACCUUUUGCAUCAUGGUCUAGCAAGAAACCCAAGACAAGAAGAAUCAUAGCCUACACCCCGAAACCAGAUGAGCUACUUUAGAGCAGCCUAACGGGCGCACCCUUCUCUGUAGCAAAAGAGUGGGAAGACUUAAAAGUAGAGGUGAGACGCUUACCGAAUCUGGAGAUAGCUGGCUACCUAAAAAAGAAUAUAAGUUCAACCUUAGACCAGACAACAACUACUUGUUACCUAAGGACAAUCAAUAGGGGUACAGCUCUAUUGAAACAGGAUACAACCUGAAUUUGAGAGAAAACAUGAUAUGACCAACAGUAGGCCUUAAAGCAGCCACCUAAUAAAAUAUCGUUAAAGAAUUUACCUAAAUUAAACCAGAAACCAACUAAUAACUCCAAACUAACUAAGGGUAAACCCAUCUACAUGGGUACUAUUAUGCUAGAACUAAUAAUAAGAUAACCUCUCUUCAUUGCACCUAUCCCCUAGAUACCAGAUAAACUACUAGCCAUUAACAGACCACAACAGGAACUAACCAAAUCAAUACACACCUAUAAACCAAACUGUGACCCCGACACAGGAGCAUAAAAAAGAAAGAUAAAACAUUAUAAAAGGAACUCGGCAAACAAAGACCCCAACUGUUUAACAAAAACAUAACCUUUAGCCCAACAAAUAUUAAAGGCAACGCCUGCCCAGUGAACAAUUAAACGGCCGCGGUACCCUAACCGUGCAAAGGUAGCGUAAUCAUUUGUCUACUAAUUAUAGACCUGUAUGAAAGGCAAAAUGAGGGCCUAGCUGUCUCUUAUAAUAAAUCAAUUAAACUGAUCUACUAGUAAAAAAGCUAGAAUACUAACAUAAGACCAGAAGACCCUGUGAAGCUUAAACUAAAACAUUAAACCCCAUAAUGACUACUUUCGGUUGGGGCGACCUUGGAAAUAAACAAAACUUCCAAAACUGAGUGAUAUACACCACACCCUUUUAGGCCUACAAGCCAAACAUAGACCCAGCAACGCUGAUAACUGAACAAAGUUACUCCAGGGAUAACAGCGCAAUCUUCUUCAAGAGCCCAUAUCAAAAAGAAGGUUUACGACCUCGAUGUUGGAUCAGGACAUCCUAAUGGUGCAGCCGCUAUUAAGGGUUCGUUUGUUCAACGACUAACGUCCUACGUGAUCUGAGUUCAGACCGGAGCAAUCCAGGUCGGUUUCUAUCUAUGAAUAUAGCUCCACCCAGUACGAAAGGACCGGUAAAGCAGAGCCAAUACCAAAAGCACGCUCUAACAAAGACCAACCAUCAAAGCGUAUAGNGAAUGUGCCAGGCCAAGACAAGGCUAU
rnacentral:rRNA from 1 species